UACGUAGGGGGCAAGCGUUGUCCGGAAUUAUUGGGCGUAAAGAGCGCGUAGGCGGUCCGGUAAGUCGGGUGUGAAACCCUCAGGCUCAACCUGGGGACGCCACUCGAUACUGCUGUGGCUAGAGUCCAGUAGGGGAGUGUGGAAUUCCCGGUGUAGCGGUGAAAUGCGCAGAUAUCGGGAGGAAUACCAGUGGCGAAGGCGGCCUGCUGGGCCACGACCGACACUGAGGUGCGAAAGCGUGGGGAGCGAACCGG
rnacentral:rRNA from 1 species